CAAAGAAUUUGCCCUAGUUUUUAAUUUUAUGGAUAAGCUGUUGUCGCCGUUAAGAAGCGUUCGCUCCGACCUACCUAAUCUGCUCCCACGUAGGGCAAAUUCCUUGCGGGUGAAAGCUCCAGAGCGUCCCACGUGGAGGUAUAUGUGCCCAUUGAGCGACGGAGAGCUAAGAGCUAGAGCCCAGAGGGAGUUCAGACUUCAAAGCAUCUCCCUGAAAGGAGGAGGAGAAGCCAUGAAGGAUGAAGAGAAGUCACGGCCCCACAGUUAUAUCAGGAGCUUUUCUUGUGACAGGGGAUGGUAAUUGUCACACCUUCAGCCUUCCUUCAAUCAUGGAAGCCUCCUCCAUGUGAAGGAAAUUAAUGUCCCUCAUCCAUUGAAGUACAAAAAUCAGUUUGAUAAUGAUGAGAACCUGACAAGGGAAAACGAAGCAAAGUUCUUUCAGCAUUCGGUUCUACUACUUCACAAAUGUCAGUAUUCUUACUUCUGGCACGCUGAUGGUGUGGACAAAGAAGAUAUGACAUUGUUUCUCUUUGCAUGCCUUAGGCUAUAGGGUGUCUAUUUAUGGGGUGCGAGAACCUCAGGGCAGUCCAUCAAAGAGAAUACUUGUAUGAGGUGCAAGACAAUGAUUCUGGUGUUCUCUUGUUUUGAGAAAAAAUGAUUUAGAAUAACAGUCAUAUUACAGCAAUAAGUUGUAAAGAUGUGUUGAGGACUCAUUAGCUCGAACUUGUAUAUAUCUUGUGGAAUAAAUUUAAAUUCCCAAAUUUCUAA